rnacentral:rRNA from 2 species
AUGCGAAAGGCGCUUUAUAUAAGUUAUCGUUUAUUUGAUGGUACCUAACUACUUGGAUAACCGUGGUAAUUCUAGAGCUAAUACAUGCUAAAAAUCCCGACUUCGGAAGGGAUGUAUUUAUUAGAUUAAAAACCAAUGCCCUCUGGGCUCCUUGGUGAUUCAUGAUAACUCUUCGAAUCGCACGGCCUUGCGCCGGCGAUGGUUCAUUCAAAUUUCUUCCCUAUCAACUUUCGAUGUUUGGGUAUUGGCCAAACAUGGUUGCAACGGGUAACGGAGGGUUAGGGCUCGACCCCGGAGAAGGAGCCUGAGAAACGGCUACUACAUCCAAGGAAGGCAGCAGGCGCGCAAAUUACCCAAUCCCGAUUCGGGGAGGUAGUGACAAUAAAUACUGAUACAGGGCUCUUUUGGGUCUUGUAAUUGGAAUGAGUACAAUUUAAAUCUCUUAACGAGGAACAAUUGGAGGGCAAGUCUGGUGCCAGCAGCCGCGGUAAUUCCAGCUCCAAUAGCGUAUAUUAAAGUUGUUGUGGUUAAAAAGCUCGUAGUUGAACCUUGGGCCUGGCUGGCCGGUCCGCCUCACCGCGUGCACUGGUCCGGCCGGGCCUUUCCCUCUGUGGAACCCCAUGCCCUUCACUGGGCGUGGCGGGGAAACAGGACGUUUACUUUGAAAAAAUUAGAGUGCUCCAGGCAGGCCUAUGCUCGAAUACAUUAGCAUGGAAUAAUGAAAUAGGACGCGUGGUUCUAUUUUGUUGGUUUCUAGGACCGCCGUAAUGAUUAAUAGGGACAGUCGGGGGCAUCAGUAUUCAAUUGUCAGAGGUGAAAUUCUUGGAUUUAUUGAAGACUAACUACUGCGAAAGCAUUUGCCAAGGAUGUUUUCAUUAAUCAGGAACGAAAGUUAGGGGAUCGAAGACGAUCAGAUACCGUCGUAGUCUUAACCAUAAACUAUGCCGACUAGGGAUCGGACGAUGUUAUUUUUUGACGCGUUCGGCACCUUACGAGAAAUCAAAGUGCUUGGGCUCCAGGGGGAG